UGCAAUUUUUUAUUUAUAAAUUGAAUAAGUAGUAGUCUUCAUUUCAUCAUUUAUAAUUUAUUUGAAUGGUAUAGGUGAAAUUUAAAAAAAAAUAAAAUAACAAAUUUGUAGGCAAGUGUUUACUUAGGGCAUGUUUGGUUGGGGGAAUCAGUAUGCAUUCCCCCAAUUCUCUGGGCCCACCACCAAACGGGAUUACACCCUGAUUCCCUUCCGCCCCUAUUACCCCCGUUGGCUAUAGUAGCCAUUCCCCACUGAAAGCGCCGAAUAGGGAUUCCCCCUAAUUCUCAUUUUCUUUUCCGUUUUCUGUCCCUCAUCCUCUCCAACGUUUCCCUUCCAUAUUGCAAGGUAAUUUUCUUCCCUUCCAUCGAUUUCUGCUUCUUCUUCUGGUACGUUUCUUUUAUUUUCUCCGUUUUAUCAACAACAAAAAAAUGCUCGCACUCUUUCCCUAUUUUCUUUUCUUUUCUGUAAAAUCAAUUUAGUUUUGCUUUUGCUGAAAUCUGGAAUAUUUGUUUUUGUUCCCCUAAUUUUGAUUCGUUUCUAGCAUUUUCCAUUCGGCUUUUCUUUUUAUUGCAUGUUCAAUUGAACAGAUGAAAAUUUUUUCAAUGUGAUUCUAUUAUUUGUUUAUUCUAUUGCAUGUUUGUCUGAUUCUAUUAUUUUCCGAAUGGCUUGUGAUUUCAACUAGUUGAGUUCUGUUUAUUUGCAUUUCUUGAAAUUUGUUGGAGUUCAUGUAUUGGUUUUUGUUAAUUUAAAAUUUGUUUGCACAAAAGAUGAAGGCUUUAUGCUGAGAAAUGUUAACUAUGUUUUCUGUUAAUUUAAAAUUUGUUUUCUAUUAAUUUUAGUUUUAAAAUGAUUUCUUGCAAUAAAUGAGGAUUGAUAACCAUAGUAUCAGAAAGUUGUAUGUGUGCUUGAGUCCAUUUUGAGGAAAAAGGAAGAUGAACAUUUCUUAGUUGUGGCUUCUUACUUUACCGAGAUCAAAUAAGUUGUUUUGAGAUGUUCUGAGUCUUCCUAAGCUUCCCUCAGAGAAAAGGCUAACAAGGUAUUAGUCCUUUUGAAUGGGGAACAACCUGGUGGUUUGGCAAGUACUUCAAAAAAGUUUUUGAAAGCUGAGACCACACUUGUUCAAAUGCCUGACCUGAUCGACACUGGUGAUCCAGACGAUUACAAUGGACUAGAUAGUUCCACAAAAGAUCAAAAUUAUCAAAAUACUAUAGUACGGAUAGCAACACCUCUUAUUGACGACUUACUAGGAGAUGGUAUUGGUACUAAUCUCAGCACCAGUGAGCUGAAAAAUGAUGAUGAUCCCUUUCCAGAUGUCUCAUUUCACACUACUAAGGGAACAAAAAAUGUGGAUGAUCUCUUCUCUGGGAUGAGUGUAGAUGACAAGUCAGCUAUGAGUGAUAAUUGUGUGACGUGCAUACCCAUUUUUUGCAUGGAACAUGAACGACCGUUUAUGUUAAUUUGUGGUUUGCCAUUUUUUUUGUAUGUGGGUUGGCGGGGUACACUAACUCCUUUUAUCAAUUUCAUCUUAAGCACGUGUUUCACAUUUGAAGUGAAAGGUUGUCUGUGCUCUUUUUUUUUUCGAGCUGGAAGUUUUCCUAUUUAUGGAAGUACUUAGAUCGGUAAAGAAAAAUUAUAUACAGAAGUAGAUUUAAAGAAACAA